GUCCCCGAUGGGCAACAAGGUGCUCUGCUGGGUGGUCCUUUGUCUCCUGGGAGCAGACACCAUGGACGGUGGAAUCACUCAGAGCCCAAAAUACCUGCUCAGAGAGGAAAGACGAGAUGUGACUCUGGAAUGUGAACAGAAUUUGGAUUACAAUGCCAUGUACUGGUACCGACAGGACCCAGGACAAGGACUGAGACUCAUCUACUACUCACAGUUUGUAAACAAUACUCAGAAAGGAGACAUAUCUGAAGGCUACAGUGCCUCUCGAGAGAAGAAGGCAUUCUUUCCUCUCUCUGUGACAUUGACCCGAAAGAACCAGACAGCCCUCUAUCUCUGUGCCAGUAGUAGAGACACAGUGGCAGGGCUUUUCCAGACUCAGUACCUUGAUCUGCCAGCUUUCCUCAACCUCAACCAGGCCUCCAAAGCAGCUGCUGCCAUCAUCACACUUUGCAGAAUGUGA